GUGCCAGCCGCCGCGGUAAUACCGGCAGCCCGAGUGAUGGCCGAUCUUAUUGGGCCUAAAGCGUCCGUAGCUGGCCGCGCAAGUCCAUCGGAAAAUCCACCCGCCCAACAGGUGGGCGUCCGGUGGAAACUGCGUGGCUUGGGACCGGAAGGCGCGACGGGUACGUCCGGGGUAGGAGUGAAAUCCCGUAAUCCUGGACGGACCGCCGAUGGCGAAAGCACGUCGCGAAGACGGAUCCGACAGUGAGGGACGAAAGCUAGGGUCUCGAACCGGAUUAGAAACCCCGGUAGUCC
rnacentral:rRNA from 1 species